rnacentral:rRNA from 1 species
CCUACGGGAGGCUGCAGUGGGGAAUAUUGGACAAUGGGCGAAAGCCUGAUCCAGCCAUGCCGCGUGUGUGAAGAAGGCCUUCGGGUUGUAAAGCACUUUCAGUGGGGAAGAAAGCCUUGGGGCUAAUACCCUCGAGGAAGGACAUCACCCACAGAAGAAGCACCGGCUGAACUCCGUGCCAGCAGCCGCGGUAAUACGGAGGGUGCGAGCGUUAAUCGGAAUUACUGGGCGUAAAGCGCGCGUAGGCGGUCUGAUAAGCCGGUUGUGAAAGCCCCGGGCUCAACCUGGGAACGGCAUCCGGAACUGUCAGGCUAGAGUGCAGGAGAGGAAGGUAGAAUUCCCGGUGUAGCGGUGAAAUGCGUAGAGAUCGGGAGGAAUACCAGUGGCGAAGGCGGCCUUCUGGACUGACACUGACGCUGAGGUGCGAAAGCGUGGGUAGCAAACAGGAUUAGAUACCCGAGUAGUC